GCCACAAAGCGGGACGGUCGAUAAUCCGCGAUAGCGGAAAGUGCAGCAACCGGCGAAAUACGAACGGAGAAAAAGGAGGAAAAUCGCGCAAAUCCUACCUAAACGUGCCAUAACCUUCCAUGCACAGAUCAAAAAAAAAAAAAAAAAUAACAAAAACCCAUAUGUUUAUAACCGAAAUGCAAUAAUAAUACACCCGAACCCAAAAUAUCAUAUUAACCACAGUUUUGCAGCAACCAUCAGAAAGCGCUUUCGACGGUGGAUCCGCAGUAAAAGUGAGUUUAUUUACUAGGUGUUUGAUCACAAUCAUUUGGGCAUGGAAGAAAUUGUCUAUGGGUGUUCCGACCAAAUUGCCUUACCGUUUCGUAGCCCGUAAGAAUCAACAUUUAUAUUAUAUCUUUAAAUUUUAAUCUUUACCAUUGCACAUUUAUUCAAAUACUAGUUUAUAAGUUUACCUGAUCCUAGUUCAAGGGAACCAGGCCCAGGUAGCCUAUGGGAGGGAACAUAUACCCCGUAUUUUUAUGUAUAAUUUAGUUCCAAUAAAUAUCAUUAUAAUGUUUAA